rnacentral:rRNA from 1 species
UACAGAGGUCUCAAGCGUUGUUCGGAUUCAUUGGGCGUAAAGGGUGCGUAGGCGGCGCGGUAAGUCGGGUGUGAAAUCUCGGGGCUUAACUCCGAAACUGCAUUCGAUACUGCCGUGCUUGAGGACUGGAGAGGAGACUGGAAUUUACGGUGUAGCGGUGAAAUGCGUAGAUAUCGUAAGGAAGACCAGUGGCGAAGGCGGGUCUCUAUCUCGAUUCUGACGCUGAGGCGCGAAAGCUAGGGGAGCAAACGGG